AUAUUAAUUAAUUAUAUUAAUAUAUUUAUUAAUUUUUAUUAUUUAUAAUAAAGUUUUAUUUUGGCUUUAAAAUUUGUUAUAAGUUUAAUUUAUAUGUAAAUUUGUGUGUGAUUUUUAUUUAUUUUAAUAGUAAAUGAUUUUUUUUUCAAUAAUUAAUAUUGUUAAUUAAAGAAAUUUAUAAAUAGUAAUAUAUUUAGUAUUGAUAAAAUUUGUGCCAGCAAUCGCGGUUAUACUAAUAAUACAAAUAAAUUUAAUUAGUUAAAGUUAGAUUGAUUAUAUUUAAAUAUUGAUGAAUUUAUUAGGUGAAAUUUUUAAAUUGUUGAAAUUUUUAUAUAGAUAAAUGAUUGAAACUUAAAAAUUUUAAAUAUAAACUAGGAUUAGAUACCCUAUUAUUUAAAAUGUAUUUUUGUUGCUAAGGUAAUAAUAGAGUAUGUUCUUUAAAUUUAAAAAAUUUGGCGGUAUUUUAGUCUAUUCAGAGGAAUUUGUUUUAUAAUCGAUAGUCCUCGUUAUAUCUUUCUUAAUUUUGUUAUCAGUUUAUAUAUCGUUGUUAUUAGAAUAUUUUAUAAAAAAGUUAAUUUUCAUAAUUUUUAAUUUAAAAAUAUAUCAAAUCAAGGUGUAGCUAAUAUUUAAGUAAAAAUGAAUUACAAUAAAAUUAUUUAUAUGAAUAUAAAUUUGAAAUAUUUAUUGAAGGUGGAUUUGAUAGUAAAAUUAUAUAUAAUAAUAAUAAUUUGAUUUUAGCUCUAAAAUAUGUACAUAUCGCCCGUCACUCUUAUAUUAAAAUAAGAUAAGUCGUAACAUAGUAGAUGUACUGGAAGGUGUAUCUAGAACGCA
rnacentral:rRNA from 1 species